rnacentral:rRNA from 1 species
UACGUAGGGUGCAAGCGUUGUCCGGAAUUAUUGGGCGUAAAGAGCUCGUAGGCGGUCUGUCGCGUCUGCUGUGAAAACUCAGGGCUUAACCCUGAGCUUGCAGUGGGUACGGGCAGACUAGAGUGCGGUAGGGGAGACUGGAAUUCCUGGUGUAGCGGUGAAAUGCGCAGAUAUCAGGAGGAACACCGGUGGCGAAGGCGGGUCUCUGGGCCACUACUGACGCUGGAGAAGCGAAAGCCAUGGGGAGCGAACAGG